AGCAUAGAUUCAAAUUCCACUCUCCCUCUGUGAAGUUGGAGCAAUCUAUUUAACCUUCCUCCUUCAACACAGAUGGACUCAUAACACCUAUUGACCUAACCAAUGGUAAUGAUGGACGGCUGACAUUCUGCAAGACACAGCACAGAUGCAGGUUGACAGCAGACUCAACUCCAGGACGUAUGCAUCGGAGAUGGGCUUAAAGACUUGGACUCUGUCUUUGAUCCUGAAGCAACCCUGCAGCUUGAUUACAGCAUGAUUACAGGCUCUCUUGGCCUCAGAUCUCAUUGGUGCUGUUGGAGCCAAGACUCAACACAGUUUCAGCAGCAGUCCUGCUGGUUCUGAGAACAUCUGACUGGGAUUUCAAGGCAACCUCACCAGCUCAGAGAUCUAAGAGAAGACCUUACAGGGCUAAAAACACUUCCUAAGGAAUGGAAGGGGUGUUUUUUCCUCUUCCAAACAUAUGGACCAACACAAGGGUGUAUUGAAUAAAAGGGAAUCUGGUAAACUGAACACCAGUAAAGAAAAAUAACAAGGCUGUUGCAGCUUACCACAGAAAUUAGAAACCCAUGAGUUAUAGGAAGGAGAAUUCAAAAUGCUCAUAUUACAAAAGCUCAGUGAGGUGGAAGGGAACACACUUAAGAGGAAAAGUAAAGGAAUUUGAGAUGAAAGUAAACAUAUUUAUCAUUAAAUGAAAUAAAGACAUUUUUCCAGAAAUAAUCACAGGCACAAAUUGUAAAGUAUGACAUUGUAAUUUGAUUUGUGCAGAAAUUAAUUUAUGGAUUGAGUUAGAAUUUAUACAUAAUUUGGAAAAAUGAUGUAGAUAACUUCUGCCAAUAGGCUGUCAUUGUGCCAUGAUUUUAAUGUAUUCACAAUAAAAUUAUGGUCCACAAUCCUGAUAACUGGAAGGUAUAGCAGAAAAUAAAAUGCAUGAGGGUAAUGAACAAAAGAAUAUAUGGAUGCUUUCAUGUCUCUAGUCAAUGUAGUGAUGGAUGACGUCCUAGCCAAAACCAGCCAACAGAACAGAGACCCCAAAUAAGAAACGAUGGGAAAAUGAACACUGGAAAUGAUGGGAUUUCCAUAGAAAGUGGUGAAGACUCACCCACCACACAUCGAGAACUACUAAUUUGAUGAAUUUACAGAGUACAAACUUAGAAACUAUAAAAACCAACAAAAUUACCUAAAUAAACCAAACAGGAAAAAAAGAAAAAAAAAGCAAGGAAAAUAACUCCAUUCAUAGUAGUUUAAGAGUAAAAUAAAAUACUUGAAAAUCAAUUUAACUACAGAGGUAGCAGACCUGUGUACUGUACACAAUAAAAUAUCGAUUGGAAAAAAAAAACAGAAGACAGAUAAAUAAAAAUAUAUCCCAGGGUUAUAGA